rnacentral:rRNA from 1 species
AACGAACGCUGGCGGUAUGCCUAACACAUGCAAGUCGCACGAGAAAGUACUUCGGUAUGAGUAGAGUGGCGCACGGGUGAGUAACACGUAGGUGACCUUCCGAAUAGUGGGGGAUAACUCGGAGAAAUCCGGGCUAAUACCGCAUAUGUACGACAAAUACUGAGAGUAGUCGUAGAAAGAAUGCCUCUGCUUGUAAGCAUUCGCUAAUCGAUGGGCCUGCGGAGCAUUAGCUAGUUGGUAGGGUAAUGGCCUACCAAGGGUACGAUGGGUAGCUGGUCUGAGAGGAUGAUCAGCCACACUGGAACUGAGACACGGUCCAGACUCCUACGGGAGGCAGCAGUGGGGAAUAUUGCGCAAUGGGGGAAACCCUGACGCAGCCACGCCGCGUGAGUGAUGAAGGCC